rnacentral:rRNA from 1 species
GACGAACGCUGGCGGCGUGCUUAACACAUGCAAGUCGAACGGUAAGGCCCUUCGGGGUACACGAGUGGCGAACGGGUGAGUAACACGUGGGUGAUCUGCCCUGCACUUCGGGAUAAGCCUGGGAAACUGGGUCUAAUACCGGAUAGGACCACUGCCUGCAUGGGUGGUGGUGGAAAGCUUUUGCGGUGUGGGAUGGGCCCGCGGCCUAUCAGCUUGUUGGUGGGGUGAUGGCCUACCAAGGCGACGACGGGGAGCCGGCCUGAGAGGGUGACCGGCCACACUGGGACUGAGAUACGGCCCAGACUCCUACGGGAGGCAGCAGUGGGGAAUAUUGCACAAUGGGCGCAAGCCUGAUGCAGAGACGCCGCGUGAGGGAUGACGGCCUUCGGGUUGUAAACCUCUUUCAGCACCGACGAAGCGCAAGUGACGGUAGGUGCAGAAGAAGGACCGGCCAACUACGUGCCAGCAGCCGCCAUAA